GGCGGUUCCUGUGUUUCAUUAUUGAGGAGGAAGAAUUCGGGGAGUAAUCUUGCUGUUACAAAAACAACAACAACCAAUAACAAACAAAACCAACAACCAACAACAACAUCAACAAUAACAAUAACAACAACAACAACAACAACAAACAAUACCAACAACCAACUAUAAUAAUAACAACAACAAAAAUAACACCAACAAAAACAACAACAAACAAUACCAACAACAACAACAACAACAACAACAACAACAACAACAACAACAACAAGAACACAAAAACUAAUAACCAGCAACCAACAAUCAACAACAUCAACAAACAAUACCAACAACCAACAAUAACAACGUAGCACGACGAUUGGUUCUACUACCUAGUCCACUCGGGUUUACCCGACCAAAGAUCGUCAACUCCAUUACGACGACAAAUAUUUCACUCUGAGAUCUUCUCAUCUGUCGCCACUAACGUUAAAAACAACAACAACAACAAACAAUUACCUACAACAACCAACAAUAACAACGUAGCACAGUGGUUGGUUAAAGCUAUGUCCCUACUCUAUCGUUUAAUUCGUUUAUCACUUUUAUUUUGUAUCAUGUUUACCUACUUAUUAUUUUGUAAUGAGCC
rnacentral:lncRNA from 1 species